GAACGCUUGCUGCAUGCUUUAUACAUGCAAGUCGAACGAAGGCCCUAGCUUGCUAGGUGUCCUUAGUGGCGCACGGGUGAGUAACACGUGGGAACAUACCUUAUAGUACGGAAUAACUGCGGGAAACUGUAGCUAAUACCGUAUACUCCAGUAAUGGGAAAGAUUUAUCGCUAUAAGAUUGGCCCGCGCAAGAUUAGCUUGUUGGUGAGGUAAAAGCUCACCAAGGCUUCGAUCUUUAGCUGGUUUGAGAGGAUGAUCAGCCACACUGGGACUGAGACACGGCCCAGACUCCUACGGGAGGCAGCAGUAGGGAAUAUUGGACAAUGGGGGCAACCCUGAUCCAGCAAUGCAGCGUGAGUGACGAAGGCCUUAGGGUUGUAAAACUCUUUCAUCGGUGAGGAUAAUGACAGUAGCCGAAGAAGAAGGACCGG
rnacentral:rRNA from 1 species